UUAUGGUGCAUGCAAUCGAAACUAAAUAAAAUAUUGCAUAUAAUUUUCUAAGAACACCUGCAGUUGCCAUGUGUCUAAAAAUUCAUUGUAUAAAAACGAUGGGAUUUCCCGGUUUUUGCCAUUUUCCGCUUACGUUUCGUUUUGAAAAGCGUUCAUUUUCACACUAGUUUGCUUUCCUCAUGGCCGGAACAGUUCGCAUUUCACCUGACGAUCUAGUCGAUGUUUUAGCUAAAUUAGCGAAGGAUGAUAAUCUCCAAGUAUCCGUGAAACAAAGCGUGAAAGGGGGAGUAAUCGCUGGCACUGGCGCAACGGUUGGCGGAUUACUUGGAGGUCCCGUUGGUAUUGCUGUUGGCGCCACAAUUGGU
rnacentral:lncRNA from 1 species